rnacentral:rRNA from 1 species
AGCUCCAAUAGCGUAUAUUAAAGUUGUUGCGGUUAAAAAGCUCGUAGUUGGAUCUCGGCAGGCAGGGGGUGGUUCAUUAUCUGAUGUUACUGCCCCAUUGUCUGUGUUUGUGGUGGAGGUCUGGGGGUGUUCUUUACCGAGUGUCCUCAGGCGCCACCAACUUUACUUUGAAAAAAUUAGAGUGCUCAAAGCAGGCUAUCACGCUUGAAUAUUCGUGCAUGGAAUAAUGGAAUAGGAAGUCGUUUCUAUUUUGUUGGUUUUCGGAAAUUGACUUAAUGAUUAAUAGGGACAGCCGGGGGCAUUAGUAUUCGGACGACAGAGGUGAAAUUCUUGGACCGUCUGAAGACUAACUACUGCGAAAGCAUUUGCCAAGAGUGUUUUCAUUAAUCAAGAACGAAAG